UUUUGUUUCUAGAUAUUACUUGUUGAAUACUAACACUGGAAAGUUAAUUUGGAUGCGAAUCUGCUGUAUGAAUAUGUCUGGAUGUUGGAUUAGUAACUCAGAGCAGGCAGGUGCUCUUGAGCGUUGUAUCAUCCAGGGCCAGCGGGACUUCAAGCCGGAGUUCAAGGUGAGUGCAAAACAGUCAAACCCGACCUUGAACAUGGACAGAACAAGGCUUUACCCAGUUUUUGAAGCAGAAUGAAAUACCAGGUAGAUUCCUCGUGCAGAAGACCACAGAGAACUGUGACAUUACUCACAUUCUGUUGAUUCAUUGGUUGGAAAAGUGAUGCUGCUCCACUGCCAAAUACUACAAUCUGGCCCUUUCUUUAAAAAAUGAAUGAUAGCCAUCAAAUAUCUCAAGUCAUUAAAAAGCAUUGGUGCUUUAGUAGAGACAGUAGAGGUUGUCAUUGACCCUCACAGUUCUGAGCACCCAUUAUUCCUCCAACUGCUUGGUUUCAUGUUGAGAGCCAUGAUGUUGUACAAACCACUUCUUCAGCUGCCUGCCUCAGAUGACUUAUUCAUUCAGCUGUUUAUAAAUCUACUUCUGUCUGUCUUUAUAAUUGCAGUAAACACCUGCAUGUAUUUAGAAAAAGCUGAACCCAGAAACCUCACUCAGUGAGUCGAUGUUGCCCUUUACACCACCACAUGUCCUCCCACCUCUCUAAAUGUCACAGUCAGCCACUUCAAACUCUGUCACACACCUCACCUGUUGUUCCAUCAGCACGUGCUCAUGCAAUUAAAAAGCACAUGUGCGCGGCCUCACGGAUGAAUGGAGCACAAUUGCAAUGCCUUUAACUGAGUGGCGCAUUUAACCAAAUGACUUUUCCUCAUUCAUCUGCGCUUCAGAUAAUGGCUGGUCCCCACUUUUCCUGGGCUCAACAAGAAAUCCUCCAAUCACUUCCACUGUUUAAUCCUGGGUCAGCUUCCACCACAGCGCCAGAAUUUCCCUCAUCUUGACUCUGGCAGUCUCAGCUGUUUCCCCUCUUUGUGACUUUUGACCAGACGGCUCUCCACCAGAGAUGACUGCUGACAUCAUAACUGCUGAGUUUAUUUCUCUAUGAUAAAUAUAAAACUAUUGAUUGUGACGGACAUUGACUUUAAUCCUCCCCAUUUGUGUGUUCUACUACACAAAGAACUGAACCAGGUUUUGAGUUCAACAACUACCUAUUGGUGAGUUGAUGAGGAUUCAUGAAAAUGACUUUCCAUGUAACUCAUAUCUAUCUACCUAUUAAACCCAUUAUACAGCAGACAGUGCCAUCUAGUGGCUCUAAAAAUUGGGACGAUGUUUCAUGACACCCAUCUAUCACUACCAACAACUGAUGUUGACAUAGAUUAGAACCAGAAAUCUUUUUACAGCAGGUUAACCAUGAAAGGAAAUUCAACACUAUUCCAGCCACUAGAGGGCGAGCAGCACAUAGCAGGGCACAGAUUCACACAUAACCACUCAUACAAUCACACCUACAGACAGUUUGGUGUCACCAAUUAACCGCAGUGUUUUGGAAUGUGGGAGGAAACAGGAGUAUCUGGGUUUUGAGCCGGAGCAGACUCAGGCAAGCACGGGAAGAACUUGUGGUGCAUUCCAUUUACCUCCGAGGUCUGAGCUGGGAAUGACAACACAAGUUUAGCGCCAUCCAGUCCCUAAGGUCAGAAAACAAGAUGGCAAUGUGCAAGAGAGCUGUUCUUGAGCUUGACUGGAGCAAAUAAGGUGUCAUUUUGCAACUAAAAAAGCCACCAGAUAAAGAGGGAACUCAAAACUAGAGUAUUUGUUUCUUUCUAUUUCUUGUUUACAGGCCAUCUUGGAUUCUACUCAAAAUCUCCAGCUCAUAACUCAAGAGUUUACUCAUGUCAAAAGCCCAAAAUAAUUGGAAUCCCCUUAAAUAUCUAUAUACAUAUUUAGUGGGGAUUCAGUGGGCGUUACAUCUUGCUAUUUCGUAUUCCAUUUAAAUUACAGUGCAAGAUUCAGAUCCUCGUCUCCACUUUAAUGCAACACCAGCAGACAGCUGGGCGCCAUACUGAAACCAAACCAGUACUUUUAUCUCUGGCAGUUACUGGACAUCCUGAGAUUCCAUCCUCCCUCAUCCUGCUGACCUCGGCAUUCUGUCUCUGAUGCACGGUCGGAGCUCAAACAGAGAGCGAUCCGUCGGAUCCCUGGAUCCUGAUAUGUUUUUGCACACAUUCAUUUAAAUAUUUUUAAUAUCAAUGUUUUCUAUUAUUAUAUAAAGUUUUAAAUAAAAAUGUGUUUAACAGCA